rnacentral:rRNA from 1 species
UGGGGAAUAUUGCACAAUGGGCGCAAGCCUGAUGCAGCCAUGCCGCGUGUGUGAAGAAGGCCUUCGGGUUGUAAAGCACUUUCAGCGGGGAGGAAGGCGUUAAGGUUAAUAACCUUGGCGAUUGACGUUACCCGCAGAAGAAGCACCGGCUAACUCCGUGCCAGCAGCCGCGGUAAUACGGAGGGUGCAAGCGUUAAUCGGAAUUACUGGGCGUAAAGCGCACGCAGGCGGUCUGUCAAGUCGGAUGUGAAAUCCCCGGGCUCAACCUGGGAACUGCAUUCCAAACUGGCAGGCUAGAGUCUUGUAGAGGGGGGUAGAAUUCCAGGUGUAGCGGUGAAAUGCGUAGAGAUCUGGAGGAAUACCGGUGGCGAAGGCGGCCCCCUGGACGAAGACUGACGCUCAGGUGCGAAAGCGUGGGGAGCAAACAGG